rnacentral:misc_RNA from 1 species
GGAAUUUCGCUUUUGAAGGAAAAGAUUACAAGAUCUGGGAGGCUUUAUAAUAAACUGCUUAAAGCAUGGCGAAGACUGAGUCAUUCGUUCUUCUACCUCCGUUAAGCGUUAAGCUAAGUCAGCAGUAUAUGUACACCAAAAUGAGAUUCUGAUGCUGUUUUGACUAAAAUAAGUACUGGUCGGGGACUUGGAUUCUGUUGAAGAACUUUGAAGUCAUGGUAAUUGGAUAA